rnacentral:rRNA from 1 species
CAUCUUUUCUUGUUAGUUUCUGAAGUAUGGCCUGCCCACUGACUUAGAGUUGAAGGGCCGCGGUAUUUUGACCGUGCAAAGGUAGCAUAAUCAUUAGUUCUUUAAUUGUGAUCUGGUAUGAAUGGCUUGACGAGACAUAAGCUGUCUUAGAAGUAUUGGUUUAUUGAAUUUGGUUUUUGAGUUAAAAUUCUUAAAUGUUUUUAUGGGACGAGAAGACCCUAUAGAGUUUGACAAUUUUCCUAUUUAUUCGUUGUUUGUUUUAUUUACAUUGAGUGGGAGUGAAUUGUUUUGUUGGGGUGAUGGGAGGAAUAUUGUUUAACUCCUCUUUGUUUUUAUAUAUUUAUGUAUAUAUUUUUGAUCCAUUUAUUUUGAUUAUAAGAUUAAAUUACCUUA